CUUCUUUGCUUUCAAAGUCUUGUGUUCCUUGUUCCUUGUUGUUUGUUGUUGGGAUCAGUGAAGGAAUAAAUGAAACGAACACACAACUGUUUCCACCGCACCCA
rnacentral:ribozyme from 1 species